rnacentral:rRNA from 1 species
GACGAACCGUGCAAACGUUGUUCGGAAUCACUGGGCUUAAAGGGCGCGUAGGCGGCUGAUCCAGUCCGGGGUGAAAUCUUUCGGCUCAACCGGAAAAGGGCCUUGGAUACUGAUCAGCUUGAGGGAGGUAGGGGCAGGUGGAACUUCCGGUGGAGCGGUGAAAUGCGUUGAUAUCGGAAGGAACGCCGGUGGCGAAAGCGGCCUGCUGGACCUCCACUGACGCUGAGGCGCGAAAGCCAGGGGAGCAAAC